CCCUAUGGGGUGCACCAGACCUGGAACGAUCAUCGUUGAACAUCGGUCAGGGUUUAUCUGUGCCAAUGCUGGGAUUGAUCAUUCCAAUGUUAAAGGCAGUUGGGGAAAUGACGAGGAUUGGGUGUUGUUACUGCCAGAGGACUCCGAUCUUUCGGCUGCGAUGAUCCGCGCGGAACUGGAAGGUUUGAGCGGGGUGAGGUUGGGUGUGAUGAUCAUAGACUCGCAUGGGCGAGCCUGGCGUAACGGCGUGCUGGGCACGACGAUUGGCGCGUCCGGACUGCCCGCACUGCUCGAUAUGCGCGGGGAAGAGGAUAUGUACCAGUACAAGCUCCGGGUGACAACGAUCGCUACGGCUGAUGAAUUGGCGGGAGGGC
rnacentral:rRNA from 1 species